rnacentral:rRNA from 1 species
UACGGGGGGGGCAAGCGUUGUUCGGAAUUACUGGGCGUAAAGGGCGCGCAGGCGGCUCUGAAAGUCAGAUGUGAAAGCCCCGGGCUUAACCUGGGAAUUGCAUUUGAUACUCUGGAGCUUGAGUGUGGGAGAGGAGAGUGGAAUUCCCAGUGUAGAGGUGAAAUUCGUAGAUAUUGGGAAGAACACCGGUGGCGAAGGCGGCUCUCUGGACCACAACUGACGCUGAGGCGCGAAAGCGUGGGGAGCAAACAGG